GAUGAACGCUAGCGGCAGGCUUAAUACAUGCAAGUCGAGGGGCAGCACGGGUAGCAAUACCUGGUGGCGACCGGCGCACGGGUGCGUAACACGUAUGCAACCUACCUUAAACUGGGAAUAGCCCCUUGAAAGAGGGAUUAAUACCCCAUAACACUGUGAGAAGGCAUCUUUUUACAGUUAAAGUUCCGACGGUUUAAGAUGGGCAUGCGCGACAUUAGCUUGUUGGUGAGGUAACGGCUCACCAAGGCUGUGAUGUCUAGGGGUUCUGAGAGGAAAUCCCCACACUGGUACUGAGACACGGACCAGACUCCUACGGGAGGCAGCAGUAAGGAAUAUGUCAAUGGGCGCAAGCCUGAACCAGCCAUGCCGCGUGCAGGAUGACGGCCCUAU
rnacentral:rRNA from 1 species